GACGAACCGAGCGAACGUUGUUCGGAAUCACUGGGCUUAAAGGGCGCGUAGGCGGGGUCAUAAGUCUGUGGUGAAAUCCUCCGGCUCAACCGGAGAACUGCCUCGGAUUCUGUGGCUCUCGAGGGUGGUAGGGGUAUGCGGAACUAUCGGUGGAGCGGUGAAAUGCGUUGAUAUCGAUAGGAACUCCGGUGGCGAAGGCGGCAUACUGGACCACUUCUGACGCUGAGGCGCGAAAGCCAGGGGAGCAAACGGG
rnacentral:rRNA from 1 species